GACGAACGCUGGCGGCGUGCCUAAUACAUGCAAGUCGAGCGGACUUUCAAGAAGCUUGCUUUUUGAAAGUUAGCGGCGGACGGGUGAGUAACACGUGGGCAACCUGCCUGCAAGACGGGGAUAACUCCGGGAAACCGGGGCUAAUACCGGAUAAUAUCUUCCUUCGCAUGAAGGAAGGUUGAAAGGCGGCGCAAGCUGCCGCUUGCAGAUGGGCCCGCGGCGCAUUAGCUAGUUGGUGAGGUAACGGCUCACCAAGGCGACGAUGCGUAGCCGACCUGAGGGGGUGAGCGGCCACACUGGGACUGAGCCACGGCCCAGACUCCUACGGGAGGCAGCAGUAGGGAAUCUUCCGAAAUGGACGAAAGUCUGACGGAGCAACGCCGCGUGAGCGAAGAAGGUCUUCGGAUCGUAAAGCUCUGUUGUCAGGGAAGAACAAGUACCGUUCGAACAGGGCGGUACCUUGGCGGUACCUGACCAGAAAGCCACGGCUAACUACGUG
rnacentral:rRNA from 1 species